rnacentral:rRNA from 1 species
GAUGAACGCUGGCGGCGUGCCUAAUACAUGCAAGUCGAGCGAACGGACGAGAAGCUUGCUUCUCUGAUGUUAGCGGCGGACGGGUGAGUAACACGUGGAUAACCUACCUAUAAGACUGGGAUAACUUCGGGAAACCGGAGCUAAUACCGGAUAAUAUUUUGAACCGCAUGGUUCAAAAGUGAAAGACGGUCUUGCUGUCACUUAUAGAUGGAUCCGCGCUGCAUUAGCUAGUUGGUAAGGUAACGGCUUACCAAGGCAACGAUGCAUAGCCGACCUGAGAGGGUGAUCGGCCACACUGGAACUGAGACACGGUCCAGACUCCUACGGGAGGCAGCAGUAGGGAAUCUUCCGCAAUGGGCGAAAGCCUGACGGAGCAACGCCGCGUGAGUGAUGAAGGUUUUCGGAUCGUAAAACUCUGUGAUUAGGGAAGAACAUUUGUGUAAGUAACUGUGCACAUCCUGACGGUACCUAAUCAGAAAGCCACGGCUAACUACGUG